GGCCCAGUAGUUCAGUUGGUUAGAAUGCCGCCCUGUCACGGCGGAGAUCGUCGGUUCGAGUCCGUCCUGGGUCGCCA
rnacentral:tRNA from 10 species